CUGGCUCAGAGCGAACGUUAGCGGCGCGCCUAACACAUGCAAGUCGCACGAGAAAGGGGGCAACCCCCGGUACAGUGGCGCACGGGUGAGUAACACGUGGGUGAUCUGCCCAGAAGAAGGGGAUAACCUCUCGAAAGGGGGGCUAAUACCGCAUAGGACCACCGGGGCUCUGGCUCUGUGGUGAAAGGGGGCCUCUGUUUACAAGCUCCUGCUUCUGGAUGAGCCCGCGUCCCAUCAGCUAGUUGGUAGGGUAAUGGCCUACCAAGGCUACGACGGGUAGCUGGUCUAAGAGGAUGGCCAGCCACACUGGAACUGAGACACGGUCCAGACUCCUACGGGAGGCAGCAGUGGGGAAUCUUGCGCAAUGGGCGAAAGCCUGACGCAGCGACGCCGCGUGGGUGACGAAGGCCUCGGUU
rnacentral:rRNA from 1 species